GACGAACGCUGGCGGCGUGCUUAACACAUGCAAGUCGAACGGAAAGGCCCUGCUUGCAGGGUGCUCGAGUGGCGAACGGGUGAGUAACACGUGGGUGAUCUGCCCCUUACUUUGGGAUAAGCCUGGGAAACUGGGUCUAAUACUGGAUAGGACCAUGCUGUAGGUGGUGUGGUGGAAAGCUUAGUUUCGGUAAGGGAUGAGCUCGCGGCCUAUCAGCUUGUUGGUGGGGUAAUGGCCUACCAAGGCGUCGACGGGUAGCCGGCCUGAGAGGGUGGACGGCCACAUUGGGACUGAGAUACGGCCCAGACUCCUACGGGAGGCAGCAGUGGGGAAUAUUGCACAAUGGGCGCAAGCCUGAUGCAGCGACGCCGCGUGGGGGAUGACGGCCUUCGGGUUGUAAACUCCUUUCAGCCAUGACGAAGCCCUUGUGGUGACGGUAGUGGUAGAAGAAGCACCGGCUAACUACGUG
rnacentral:rRNA from 1 species